rnacentral:ncRNA from 1 species
UUACGCGGUUUCGCGAGGAUUAAUAGGGAAGACGGUUCGAGUCCGUCGCAACAGCCAUUACCGUAUUUAGCCUAAAGAAAGCAUUAUGCCACUGAGUUUUUGGGAAGGCGCUUUGUAAUAUAAGGCUUUAAGUCGGGAGACCUGCCGCGUUCG